AUGCCGAUCCCGCAGGACGAGGCGGGAGAGAUUUCGGGAUCUAGGUCGAGGGCAGGGCGGUGGAAGCGGCGGCGGCAGCGGCGCACCCCGGUGGCGGACUGUUCGGGGAAGGCCCAACCGGAAGCCGCGCCGUCAUCGCAGCGAGGCAAGAGGAAAGCCUCCCCGGAGCCGUCGGCCGCAGCAUCGCAGCAGCGAGGCAAGAGCGAAGCCCCCCUAGAGCCGUCCGAGGGAUCCAAGAGGCGGAAGGGAACCACCAAGAAGCGGAAGGGAACUGACAAGAAGAAAGCCGCUACGAGCACGGGCGAGCAGGCGGCCCCAGCUUCACCAGGCGCAUCGCAUGCCUCCUCCUCCUCCUCCUCUGCAGUCAGCUCUCCUCUGCGUUGGCCUCACCCCCCAGCCUACAUCCGAAACCCAGAGAAUGCCCAUGACCCUGCGAUGAAGGAUGCCCUUGAAGCUUAUGACGAGCUCAAAUGCAAGUACCGUGCAAAAAGAAAGCUCCAACAACAGCUUGCAACGCUUGAUAUGUCUAUUUGUGGUUCGUGUAUGGCGAAUGCAAACUUGCAGAGCGUUCGUGAGUCUACUACAAAAACAAUCCUCCAAGCAGCUAAAGUUAUUUUUAGCUUUUCGUCCUAUGUCGAUGGUAAACUCAUGGCACGAUCAUCUGGUUUUCUAAUUGAUUGGGAUGAGGGGAGUAAAGAGGGCACUGUUUUGACAUCUGCGCGAAUAAUCUGCUCAAAAUACACGGCCCUAACCCAGUGGUCAGGUACAGAUGAGUAUGUACCUGAUGCUGAGAUUAUUGCUCAUUUGUUGGAUGAAGAUGAGACAACCGUACCUGCAAUCUUGUUUCGCUAUGACAAGCACAUCAAUAUUGCCGUGUUGAAGGUUAAUUUAGACUUGUGUGCUAAGAUUCCUAGGUUUAGUAGUGACAUAAACUAUGGUCAGGAGAUACUUGUGCUCGGUAGAGAUGAACGUUUAAACAUGACAAUUGCUCAUGGAUGUGUUCAUUUCAUGGGCCCAACUACAUACCAACGUCAUCAUUAUCUAUUCACUGGUUGUGAGCCCAGCAUUGGAGGAAUGGUUAUUGAUUUUGAUGGGCACGUUUUGGGGAUGGCUAAUUUUCCCGGGACAGCAUAUAUUCCUUCCUCUAUUGUAUUGAAGUGCUUGGAUAUGUGGAAAAAAUUUCAGUGUAUCCCUCGCCUGCAUAUUGGGAUGAAGCUUUCACCCAUUAAAUUUCUCGAUCCAAUUCAUGUGGAGAGGAUCUUUCGAAAGUGUAAUAUCGAUUCGGGUCUGAUAGUUAAAGAGGUGUCCCAUGGAUCGAUUGCUGAAGAACUAGGAGUUAGACCUGGUGAUGUCGUUGAUUCCGUGAAUGGAGAGUGUGUUGCUACCACAGUUGAGUUGGAGAACUUAAUUAUGAGAAUAUGCGAGAAUCAUCUUGACCAAGGAGGAGCCAUCGGUUCCUGCAUGGACAUUCUAGUUGGUAUCUUGCACAUGCGGAAAGGUCGCAAAGGUCCGAGGCGCACUUUAAGUCUGAGAUUAAAUGUAUCAGACGACGUAGAGGUGUUCACAAGUGAUUUCUGA
rnacentral:rRNA from 1 species